rnacentral:rRNA from 1 species
GAUGAACGCUGGCGGCGUGCCUAAUACAUGCAAGUCGAGCGAACAGACGAGGAGCUUGCUCCUCUGACGUUAGCGGCGGACGGGUGAGUAACACGUGGAUAACCUACCUAUAAGACUGGGAUAACUUCGGGAAACCGGAGCUAAUACCGGAUAAUAUAUUGAACCGCAUGGUUCAAUAGUUAAAGACGGUUUUGCUGUCACUUAUAGAUUGAUCCGCGCCGCAUUAGCUAGUUGGUAAGGUAACGGCUUACCAAGGCAACGAUGCGUAGCCGACCUGAGAGGGUGAUCGGCCACACUGGAACUGAGACACGGUCCAGACUCCUACGGGAGGCAGCAAUAGGGAAUCUUCCGCAAUGGGCGAAAGCUUGACGGAGCAAAGCCGCGUGAGUGAUGAAGGUCUUCGGAUCGUAAAACUCUGUUAGUAGGGAAGAACAAAUGUGUAAGUAACUAUGCACGUAUUGACGGUACCUAAUCAGAAAGCCACGGCUAACUACGUG